AUCUUGCCUAAUUGAAGAAACACACCGAGAAAACCGAAGGCAUUAAUUGUGGUUCUAUUUGAUGGUAUUAAUUGCGGUUCUAUUUGAUGGUAGCUGGCGUACUUACAUUGUAUCGUCAAUCGUACAGUAGAUUCCUUAACAAUGAUGUGAUUAAGAGUGAAGAAAGAUUUUAUUGACGGAUUGAUAUUCUUAACAAAAUGACGACUAUUCAGCAUUG
rnacentral:lncRNA from 1 species